rnacentral:misc_RNA from 1 species
GGUAAAAGUCGUAACAAGGUUUCCGUAGGUGAACCUGCGGAAGGAUCAUUAUUGUAUAACCGAGGUGCGAGGGCUGUCGCUGACCCGAAAGGUCGUGCACGCCCGAGUGCCCUCACACACAUCCAUCUCACCCCUAUGUGCACCACCGCGUGGGUUCCCCUUUGGCUUGUUCGGAGGGGGGCUUACGUUUUCACACAAACUUUGUAUGCAGUGUAGAAUGUAUUUUUUGUUUUUGCGAUCACGCAAUCAAUACAACUUUCAACAACGGAUCUCUUGGCUCUC